rnacentral:rRNA from 1 species
GACGAACGCUGUUGGCGUGCCUAACACAUGCAAGUUGAGCGAAGUGAGUACUACGGUACGAACUUAGCGGCGGACGGGUGAGGAACGCGUGGACAAUCUACCCUGUAGACUGGGAUAACACCUCGAAAGGGGUGCUAAUACAGGAUCAUGUCGAGAAGCGGCAUCGCUGUGCGAGACAAGGAGAGAAUACGCUAUAGGAGGAGUCCGCGUCCCAUUAGCGAGUUGGCGAGGAUAACGGCCCACCAAGGCGACGAUGGGUCGCCGGCCUGGGAGGGUGAACGGCCACACUGGAACUGAGACACGGUCCAGAUUCCUACGGGAGGGAGCAGUGGGGAAUAUUGUGCAAUGGGGGAAACCCUGACACAGCAACGCCGCGUGAGCGAAGAAGGCCUUCGGGUUGUAAGCUCAAUAGUAUGGGAAGAUAAUGACGGUACCAUACGAAAGCCCCGGCUAACUACGUGCCAGCAGCCGCCGUAACAC